rnacentral:lncRNA from 1 species
UCCGAAUCUGCUUUCAGACGUAAACCCGUGUUUUCGUACGAUAUUUACAUUGCAGUUUACGUUUACGCCUUGAUUCUGCAAAACUGUCUUCUGCGCUUUUACGAACGAGUUUCUAAGUUCAGAUCUCUUUGAAACUGUGUCUAGACGUAAAAUUGCGUUUAGACGUAAAACUGCCCAAACUGUGUUUAGACGUUUUAGACGUAAACUGCGUUUAGACGUAAAUCUGCGUUUAGACGUAAAUAUGCGUUUAGACGUAAAACUGUGUUUAGACGCAAACUACGUUUAAACGUAAAACUGCGUUUUAGACGUAAACUGAGUUUAGACGUAAAUCUGCGUUUAGACGUAAAUCUGCGUUUAGAUGUAAAUCUGCGUUUAGACGUAAAACUGCAUUUAGACGCAAACUGCAUUUAAACGUAAAUUGUGUUUAGACGUAAACUGCGUUUAGAAGUAAAACUGCGCUUAAUCUUAAGUAAUCUUAAAAUCGGCUUUUACAUCGAAAUCGUUUUUAUCGAACGAACUCAGCUUUCAUUUUUAAUCGCUGAAAGAUUUCCGCUGUACUAAUUCAC